AUUGAACGCUGGCGGCAGGCCUAACACAUGCAGGUCGAGCGGAUGAGUGGAGCUUGCUCCAUGAUUCAGCGGCGGACGGGUGAGUAAUGCCUAGGAAUCUGCCCGGUAGUGGGGGACAACGUUUCGAAAGGAACGCUAAUACCGCAUACGUCCUACGGGAGAAAGCAGGGGACCUUCGGGCCUUGCGCUAUCAGAUGAGCCUAGGUCGGAUUAGCUAGUUGGUGAGGUAAAGGCUCACCAAGGCGACGAUCCGUAACUGGUCUGAGAGGAUGAUCAGUCACACUGGAACUGAGACACGGUCCAGACUCCUACGGGAGGCAGCAGUGGGGAAUAUUGGACAAUGGGCGAAAGCCUGAUCCAGCCAUGCCGCGUGUGUGAAGAAGGUCUUCGGAUUGUAAAGCACUUUAAGUUGGGAGGAAGGGCAGUAAGUUAAUACCUUGCUGUUUUGACGUUACCAACAGAAUAAGCACCGGCUAACUUCGUGCCAGCAGCCGCAGUAACAC
rnacentral:rRNA from 1 species